rnacentral:tRNA from 1 species
GCCUUCGUAAUGUAACUGGAACCACGCUCGACUCACAUUCGGGAGGUCUGGAGUUCAAAUCCCAGUGAAGGCA